rnacentral:rRNA from 1 species
GGAUGCGAUCAUACCAGCACUAAAGCACCGGAUCCCAUUAGAACUCCGAAGUUAAGCGUGCUUGGCGAGAGUAGUACUAGGAUGGGUGACCUCCUGGGAAGUCCUCGUGUUGCAUUCC